rnacentral:misc_RNA from 1 species
UCACGUGAUUGUCACGUGAUAUUUUCUCCCAUUGUCAAUUGUCACGUCCAAUUGUCACUCCCUCCAAUUGUCACGUGAUAUUUUUAUAGGCAAUAUGUAGGCGUUCAACUAGUGUUAAGAGUAAGAACUGCAACUUUCGGUGUUCGAUCGUAGAGGGCGGGCCUAUCUGCCUGCCGGCGGAGGUCGCUGACCGGUCGCAGGGCAGUGUGUGAUCGGAGCCGAGCGCAGAGAGUGCGGCACCUGUACUGAAGUGUUAUCUUGAUCGGGAAGCAAAUACAAGGCUGUCGUCGCCUCGGUCCGGGAGCGGAAAUUUCUGCAGCAAUGCGGCGCCGAGUCACGGUCCCGCCGGGUCUCCCCGCUAGUUGCGGAUGAAGCCGGAACAAAACGUCACCAGCCGGGUUCACCUAGAACCGUUCUUCGAAGGUCAGACCAGCCACGUUGGAACGAUGCUGUGGACAGAGCCGCAGGAAUACUUCAUCCAUGGCCGCAGCAUUUUCACCCAAUGGGGCCGGCAGAGCUGCGGCAUUUGACGCCCGGAAAACCGGUACCUCUCCUAACGGUGCACACACACACCGUUCCACUGGCACCUGGCUCCGGUGGGAAGCGGUGACGCAUGUCGGCCCCGGGGGACGUCUGAGUGCCUCCAGCCGGCCGUGAGACACGCCGCCGCCGCCGGCCGCCCCCGCCCAGAGCCGGAGUGACACGUGGCGAUCUCUGGCGACGCCGGACUAUGAGCCGUAGAUGUCUGGCGAGCCAGUUUAACUCGCCACGCCCGGGGAGCGCCGAGAGAAAGUGCCUGUUCCACCUGCACAGGUCACCUGAGGUCACGUGAGGUCAUCCACGUGUCAUGUGCCUUCUACCCGCGGCCCAGAAGUGCCACGUCAAUGGAAAGUCGGCUGAAAACUGCUGACCCGGGCCGCUGUCAGAUGACCACGUGGGGCCAGCGCCGGUCGUAACAGAGACAGGCGUCACAGUGACGUGACGCGCUCUGUGACGGGUCGCGUCACGCCGACCACCACGUCACGCACGUGGCUUGUGUGACGGCUCAGCUCAAGCUGCGACUGGCGGCUGUGCGACGAUUGAUUGAAUUUGCUUUUAUUAAAUAUUUCCUUGCUUAUACACUGGUCACUGUUGCAGUGAUGUUAUCAUCAACGAAAGUUUGUUUUCGCUUCUUGAUAUAUAGCAGUUGCUACUCGAGGGCAGCGCUUUUCGAGGAGCGCUGUGGCCCGAA